GAUGAAACGUAGCGAAAUGCGAUAAGUAAUGUGAAUUGCAGAAUUCAGUGAAUCAUCGAAUCUUUGAACGCACAUUGCGCCCCUUGGUAUUCCGAGGGGCAUGCCUGUUCGAGCGUCAUUAUAACCCCUCAAGCUCAGCUUGGUGUUGGGGCCUGCUGCACUGGCAGCCCUUAAAAUCAGUGGCGGCGCCAUCUGGCUCUAAGCGUAGUAAUUCUUCUCGCUAUGGAGUCCUGGUGGAUGCUUGCCAUCAACCCCCAAUUUUUCUAUGGUUGACCUCGGAUCAGGUAGGGAUACCCGCUGAACUUAAGCAUAUCAAUAAGCGGAGGA
rnacentral:misc_RNA from 1 species